ACUCAAAUGAAUUGACGGGGGCCCGCACAAGUGGUGGAGCAUGUGGUUUAAUUCGAUGAUACGCGAGGAACCUUACCGAGGCUAGAAUGCGCGUGACCGGUCCAGAGAUGGACCUUUCCUUCGGGACACAAAGCAAGGUGCUGCAUGGCCGUCGUCAGCUCGUGCCGUGAGGUGUUGGGUUAAGUCCCGCAACGAGCGCAACCCCUAUGUUUAGUUGCCAGCACAUUAUGGUGGGGACUCUAGACAGACUGCCUGUGCAAACAGCGAGGAAGGCGGGGACGACGUCAGGUCAUCAUGGCCCUUACGCCUCGGGCUACACACGUGCUACAAUGGACGGUACAGAGGGUCGCCACGCAGCGAUGCGGAGCCAAUCUCAAAAAGCCGUUCUCAGUUCGGAUCGGAGUCUGCAACUCGACUCCGUGAAGCUGGAAUCACUAGUAAUCGCGUAUCAGCAACGACGCGGUGAAUACGUUCCCGGGCCUUGUACACACCGCCCGU
rnacentral:rRNA from 1 species